AUUGAACGCUGGCGGCAGGCCUAACACAUGCAAGUCGAGCGGCAGCGGGAAAGUAGCUUGCUACUUUUGCCGGCGAGCGGCGGACGGGUGGGUAAUGCCUGGGAAAUUGCCCAGUCGAGGGGGAUAACAGUUGGAAACGACUGCUAAUACCGCAUACGCCCUACGGGGGAAAGCAGGGGACCUUCGGGCCUUGCGCGAUUGGAUAUGCCCAGGUGGGAUUAGCUAGUUGGUGAGGUAAUGGCUCACCAAGGCGACAAUCCCUAGCUGGUCUGAGAGGAUAAUCAGCCACACUGGAACUGAGACACGGUCCAGACUCCUACGGGAGGCAGCAGUGGGGAAUAUUGCACAAUGGGGGAAACCCUGAUGCAGCCAUGCCGCGUGUGUGAGGAAGGCCUUCGGGUUGUAAAGCACUUUCAGCGAGGAGGAAAGGUUGAUGCCUAAUACGUAUCAACUGUGACGUUACUCGCAGAAGAAGCACCGGCUAACUCCGUGCCAGCCGCCGCCGUAA
rnacentral:rRNA from 1 species